GAUGAACGCUGGCGGCGUGCAUAACACAUUCAAGUCGAACGGUGACGGGACUUCGGUCCCUGAUCAGUGGCGGACGGGUGAGUAACGCGUGAGCAACCUGCCCUUGUGUGGGGGAUAACAUCUGGAAACGGAUGAUAAUACCGCAUAAUGCAACGGAAUCGCAUGUUUCUGUUGCCCAAGAUUUAUUGCGCAAGGAUGGGCUCGCGUUUGAUUAGAUAGUUGGUGAGGUAACGGCUCACCAAGUCGACGAUCCAUAGCCGGACUGAGAGGUUGAACGGCCACAUUGGAACUGAGAAACGGUCCAGACUCCUACGGGAGGCAGCAGCGGGGAAUAUUGGGCAAUGGGCGAAAGCCUGACCCAGCGACGCCGCGUGCGGGAAGACGGUCUUCGGAUUGUAAACCGCUUUUAUUAGGGACGAUAAUGACGGUACCUAAUGAAUAAGCCACGGCUAACUACGUGCCAGCAGCCGCCGUAAGAC
rnacentral:rRNA from 1 species